rnacentral:rRNA from 1 species
AUUGAACGCUAGCGGGAUGCCUUACACAUGCAAGUCGAACGGAGUGGCGAACGGGUGAGUCAUGUAUCUGAACGUGCCCCGUAGCGGGGGAUAACUACGCGAAAGCGUAGCUAAUACCGCAUACUCUUGGAACGGCCGCUAUCGGAUUCGCUAGUUGGUGGGGUAACGGCUCACCAAGGCGACGAUCCGUAGCUGGUUUGAGAGGACGACCGGCCACACGGGGACUGAGACCGGGCCCAGACGCCUACGGGAGGCAGCAGUUGGGAAUUUGGGGCAAUGGGGGAAACCCUGAUGCAGCCGUGCCGCGUGUGCGAUGAAGGCCUUCGGGUUGUAAAGCACUUUUGGCAGGAGAGCGGUACCUGCAGAAUAAGCACCGGCUAACUACGUGCCAGCAGCCGCGGUAAUAC